rnacentral:rRNA from 1 species
AUUGAACGCUGGCGGCAUGCCUUACACAUGCAAGUCGAACGGCAGCACGGGAGCAAUCCUGGUGGCGAGUGGCGAACGGGUGAGUAAUAUAUCGGAACGUGCCCGGUCGUGGGGAUAACGUAGCGAAAGCUACGCUAAUACCGCAUACGAUCUACGGAUGAAAGCGGGGGAUCGCAAGACCUCGCGCGAUUGGAGCGGCCGAUAUCAGAUUAGGUAGUUGGUGAGGUAAAGGCUCACCAAGCCGACGAUCUGUAGCUGGUCUGAGAGGACGACCAGCCACACUGGGACUGAGACACGGCCCAGACUCCUACGGGAGGCAGCAGUGGGGAAUUUUGGGACAAUGGGCGCAAGCCUGAUCCAGCAAUGCCGCGUGCAGGAUGAAGGCCUUCGGUUGU